AUUGAACGCUGGCGGCAGGCCUAACACAUGCAAGUCGAGCGAGCGGCGGACGGGUGAGUAAUGUAUGGGGACUGCCCGAUAGAGGGGGACAACCACUGGAAACGCUGGCUAAUACCGCAUAUUGCCGGAUUACCCACUUGGGCUUAGCUAUUAGGUAAGGUAAUGGCUUUCCCAGGCGACGAUCCCUAGCUGGUCUGAGAGGAUGAUCAGCCACACUGGAACUGAGACACGGCCCAGACUCCUACGGAGGCAGCAGUGGGGAAUAUUGCACAAUGGGCGCAAGCCUGAUGCAGCCAUGCCGCGUGUAUGAAGAAGGCCCUAGGGUUGUAAAGUACUGUAAGUCGGGAGGCGUUACCGACAGAAGAAGCACCGGCUAACUCCGUGCCAGCAGCCGCGGUAAUAC
rnacentral:rRNA from 1 species